rnacentral:rRNA from 1 species
UACGAAGGGGGGCUAGCGUUGUUCGGAGUUACUGGGCGUAAAGAGUGCGUAGGCGGUUUUCUAAGUUUGGUGUGAAAUCUCCCGGCUCAACUGGGAGGGUGCGCCGAAGACUGGAAGGCUUGAGUAUGGGAGAGGUAAGCGGAAUUCCUGGUGUAGCGGUGAAAUGACGUAGAUAUCUGGAGGAACACCGGUGGCGAAGGCGGCAUCCUGGACCAUUACUGACACUGAAAAGCGAAAGCCAGGGGGAGCAAAACGGG